AAAUGACCAGGGUAUCUCCUACGUAUGGCUGAUCUCUAGCUGCCCUAACGGCCCUUUGGGACUGUUGGCAGGAACAAGCACAAAUUAGAGCAGCUUUUGUGUCUGGCACUGGACAAGUGGUAGGACAGAUCUAGAACUGGGGGGAUCUUAAAGAUAGCAUUAGGGAUGCUAAGGAUUAAGCUGAGUUGCACUAUGUGCUCCUUGGCCACAACUCAGGAUCAGAACAGGUGUCUUUUCCAAAAAUAAAAAAGUGACCUACAUGUGGAGCUGUCCUCAUGCGGCAAACACCUCUCCUCUCCUCUCCUCCAAAUCUUUCCUUACAACCUUCCACCACUGAGCCCUAUGAGUGCAUGCACUCACUCUGGCUCCUCAGUCACUAUUUGUAUGUUUCUAUCUAAAAUAGAUUUAAACUCACUGGGGCAGAGCCCUUUCUGGAACUUAUAUAUGUUAAGUUCAGUGUACACCUAUCAUCUUCCAAGUGAUUAAUAAUCUCGGGUGGACGACAGAAACAAACUGGAGCACACAGGGUUAAUUCAGUAACCAAGGAAAGUCUAUUAAUGAUUGCUGUCUAGCAAGCCCAGUGUCUCACUAUACUGUAGUUACCUUCUCCAGCCUGAAGUACACUGUCCAUGCUGUGAGGAGAAGCUGCAAGCUGUGGAAAUGCUGCAUCUCCACCAUCAAGUACAUUGGUGCUGAGGAAAUCAACAGGAAUAAACCAUGAUAAAAUAGCUGAGGGAGUAGCUGAUCCAGAAUCUGAUCGGACAAUUCAUUGUGCAGGGGCACCCCCCUGCAACGUCACAGAAUUCCAAAGAAGAAAAUGGAGGCUCCAUGUGGAAGGAAAAUCCUUGUCUUCUACUUUCACUGAAGGUCUGUUGCAUUUCAUCCUACAAAAGAAGGAACGUCUUGCUCCAGAACAAAGUCUUGAUGGCCC